AAACGGAGAGUAUAGAAAUAUCUUCCCCUCUGCAAUGAAAACCAACCCGGUCCUUAGAUGGCUCGCUGGAGGCAAGCAGACACUUCACCUGGCCUCCGAUACCCGGUUGAUCAGUUUCCAUGACGACAGUCAAAGAGAGAUGACAGCAACUGUCCAUGUUAUCAUCACCGGCUUGGUUUUGCAGUGGAUGGUCAAGGCUUUGUGCUCCUUUGUUGACUGCAAAGGUGUGGACAACCCAUUCCGUGGAGCCGCUCACGUUGUUUUCUGAGAUACUGCUGCUGCUGCUGUAUACCACUCGAGGACUCACAGUGAAUUAUUGCUAAAGGUGACCAAAAAAAGUAACAAGUUUGUGGGAGUGAACUCUGCUUAUUUUAAGAUCUUUAAAGGAAGUAGGGAAUAACUCCCAUACCGAGGGCUGGUGCAAUUCAUUUAUGAGGCGACAUAAACAUCAAAUGUUGCCAUCGGUGCAUUGCAUGGAAUAUGAAUCCUUUGUUCUCCAGGUUCUGUCUGGAAGCUCUUUGUGACAGUUGUGUGAUAAAUGGCUCUGUUUAAAAUGUAGGGUUUGAAUGCACCAGGGCUAGGAGGAAGAUAAAGGAAUAUCUUCUUGUACACGUACAGGAAUAUGAUGGCACUGGUCUGAGAAUGUUCCUUGGUCUCAGACUCAAGAUUAGAUCAUUGUACUCCACAAUCUGACAGCUAAAGAGUUAAAGAUCAGCUCGCUAUAUGUGAUUGUCAUUCUAGAAGGGCCUGUUGGGAUAAAACUAUAACAUUUCAGCACAGCCAAUUGAAGUUCCUGAGAAGUUAGUUUGACCUUGAAUGCUUUUGAAUAGCAAAACCUAAAAUAAUCCAGGUUUUGACAAUUUAUGCUUGGUUAACAGAACCUGUUCUUCGUUUUAAGGCACUGAGGCUUUGUUUGCUAAGGACAGCCAGGGAGUAAUUAACUAUUUUUUUCUACCAUUUGUAGAAUAUACAAAUGGAUGCUACAAAAAUAAACGGGGGUCCGUUGAGGCUUAAGGAAGUAAUUAUCUUCCGAUGAUGUCAUAUAAAGGUGCUAAUUAUUUUAGACCAUGUUAUGCUACAGUAGCUUUAUUUUCUCUAUUAUUUGGCUAUGCUAAAUAUGUUAUUUUGAAAAGUUUAUGGAAGACUCUUUUGGGGAUUUGUUUCAUGUAUGAAUUGAGGAUACUAUGUCAAAUAUGCUAGUUUUAAAUAUGUUACCCAUAUACAUAAUUAAAAACUGAGAUUUGCAUUUUCAUCACAUUCUGGAGCAUGGAAACUAUCCUCGGUGGGCUUGACCUCACCUUUAAGUAAAAGUACUGUCUCUCUGCCGAGCGAAGGAACACUUUGAUUUAUGUUGAGCAAUACUAAAGGGGAUCAUGAGAUUUUAGAUAGAAAGCUCAGCCAUCUGCAAUCAAAUCCUCCCCAAGGUCAACAGUGACAACAUGAUCCUUAAGUAAACAUAGUAAAGAGCAGGUGGGAUUUGGCAUGCUUUUUUGCCAUUUUGAAAGAGUCUGUUAUGUCAACCACAGACACUGAGGGGUGAAAUGUUCAUAUAUAUAUAUAUAUAUAUAUAUAUAUAUAUACAC
ensembl:lncRNA